CAAGAGCUUGAAUUUCGAAAAUAUGAGCAUACUAGCAUGUCUCUUUUAACCUUGCGGGUUGGAGAUGAACACUACAGCUUGGUGUCAGCAACAAGAUUACUACCUAGCCUCAAUUAGAGCUUAAUUUUAGGGUGACUGAUUCUUGGGCUUCUCAACCGCCCCUGUGAAAUAUAAGCUUUAUGUUCAUUUCAAAAGAUUGCAAAUAUUUAUCUUAGUGUAGUUGUUUUACUGGUUAAAAAAGUUUGUGGUGAAUUUUUUUUUAAUGCUUUUCCUAUUCUAAUUCUUUUUCCUAUAUACAUAACAGUACUUAAAAGCAUCAGUUUGAAAAUUACUUACUUAAAAGAACUAUCAUGAGAAAUAUUUUACCUGGGACAAACUUGUCAAUUACAACAGUGUUGAGUCCUAAUGUUUGUUAGUUUCUCUUCUUCUAAAGUCCAGAUGUGUAUGUGCUUAACUUAGUGUCAAAGCAAUCAGUUCAUAGUGCCUGAGUGAUUGGUACAACUUACUAAAAAAGAAUUAAGUGAUUGUCAAUUUUAUUAUUCAUAUCAGACUGACUUGCUGUUGGUACAGGGCAAAAAAAAUGUGAUCUUCUCAAUCAGAUGGCUUUUAGGACUUCCUUGAUAAAGUGGAGCUUGUUGUCUUGAUGAUAAUGGAUUUGAGCACAAGUCCACAGAAGAUAUAUUCCGUUUAACAACUUAUUCUUUGAACACCCAUGCAAGAAUCUGCUUUUAAGGUCAAGGUGAGACCCUUUCACAGUUCUACUGAACAAAGUUCUUUUGUUUCUACCUGAACUCUUAUGUUGAUACUUGUUCAUCUUAGAAAUAUGUGGAAAUUUCCUAUAUGAGAAAAAAAAUUUCUGUGCAAGCAAACAUAAAAGCUUUCUUCCAACAGUACUGUCUAGAAGCAGUUUUCAGAUACCAAGAGAGAAUGCAUCUUCGGGUUUAUUAGAAGUAAGUGACAUAACUAUAUAUUUCCUUUCAAAUUAUGAAAUCAGUCUCAAUUGGUUAACAAAUAGAUUAGAGUAAAUCCUAAUUCUUUUCCAUCCAAAGGAUAUUCUAUUGAUCAGACAACUUGCAUAUAGAGUUAAUCAAAUGAUUUCAUUUGUCGUACUGGUGAGGAGCAUAGAUUAUAAUGUGGAGUUUUGUCUUAACUAAGCCAGGUGACUCACAUUUUGUAGGUUACAUGAUAAGGGCCACCAAUAUCGUCUUUUAAAACUAUGCAUUUUCUGCAUCAACAAUACGAGUAGGCUUGUGCUUUUGUGUAGUAGAGUGGCAAAAAAAGGAUACAUUAGACAUAUAUAGGUCACAUGUUGGAGCAAAUAAUGCAACCAAUUGCUGAGUUCUGCAUUACUGGCCUGCAGGAAGUCUCAUUAGCUAUCAAUGGUCUUGCAAUUGUUUGCUUUACAAGAAGUGCAUCUUACCAAAGAGAGAAAUAUGUCACUAAGAUAUGGUUGGAACUUCUGAAGUUAGUUUGAAAUCCAUGCACUAGUGACAAGGGGUAACUAAGAUCACAAAGUGAUCAUACUGCUGAUCUUUUUCCUACUGAGAGCGUCACCAAUAACAAUUGCCUAGCCCUGGUUUUGAAGAACUGCGGAUUACCAAGGAGAGAAAGUAUAGCACUAAGAUAAGGUUGGAACUUCUGAAGUUAGUUUGGAAUCCAUGUGCGGGUGACGGGGUAAUUAAGAUUAUAAUAUGAUUCAUGCUGCUGAUCUUUUCCUGUCACCAACAACAAUUGCUUACCCCUGGUUUUAGCCAUUUCAUGAUAAACUGAACUUGCAAUCUUGGUUUUUUUUUUUGGUUGGCUAUGGCAAAUCUAUGUUAUUGCUGUAAGGUAGAUCAUGAAUAUUUCAUAGGUUGCUUGUAUCUUUCUUAGUAAUUCAUAAUUUUAGACAUCGGUGUAUUUUGGUGAAUCCAUCUAUAAGUAAGUCUUUAUACUUGAAUUAUGGUGAGGAAAUUUAGGAAACUCUCCAUACAUGGAUGGAAUUUUGUGAUUCAAGUUUCCUGCAAGAGAUUUUUCUUGAGAUACCAGAUUUUUAAAAUAUUAUUGAA